rnacentral:rRNA from 1 species
GAUGAACGCUAGCUACAGGCUUAACACAUGCAAGUCGAGGGGUAACGAGAGGGAAGCUUGCUUUCCUUGUCGACGACCGGCGCACGGGUGAGUAACGCGUAUCCAACCUGCCCCCAACUAGGGAAUAACCUUGCGAAAGUAAGACUAAUACCCUAUAAUUUCCUCAGAUGUCAUCUGACGAGGAAUAAAGAUUUAUCGGUUGUGGAUGGGGAUGCGUCUGAUUAGCUUGUUGGCGGGGUAACGGCCCACCAAGGCAACGAUCAGUAGGGGUUCUGAGAGGAAGGUCCCCCACAUUGGAACUGAGACACGGUCCAAACUCCUACGAGAAGCAGCAGUGAGGAAUAUUGGUCAAUGGGCGGAAGCCUGAACCAGCCAAGUAGCGUGCAGGAUGACGGCCCUAUGGGUUGUAAACUGCUUUUAUACUGGAAUAAAGUUAGCCACGUGUGGUUAUUUGUAGGUACUGUAUGAAUAAGGACCGGCUAAUUCCGUGCCAGCCGCCGCCGUAA